CGCUUACCACUUUGUGAUUCAUGACUGGGGUGAAGUCGUAACAAGGUAACCGUAGUGGAACCUGCGGUUGGAUCACCUCCUUACCUUAAAGAAGC
rnacentral:rRNA from 1 species